ACAUACGUUCGCUUCGAGUCAAAUGCCUGAAGUCAUAGUUUAGACUUUGAGUCAGUAGGUUAACACAAAUAGUAAUUACGUUAUGUGUACUCAUGAAGGGUACGAAUGACGGGAGCGCUUGACGACGAAGCUAAAGAAUAAAAGGAAGCGAACCGACACGGGAAAGCAAAGAUGUGUUGGGAUUGAAAUUGCAGUUAGUAUGGGAAUCGGCUAAGACAACGAUAGGUGGUGACGCGAGCAGAUGCUACUCCAUGUCGAAGAACUAUAGAAGACUCGAAGAAUAGAGUCGCGUGUAAGGCUAGAGCCUUUUGGGAGAAAGAUCAUCAACAACAACAAGAAACACACAUUACUUAGUGAUAUAUCCCCGUUGCAGAUGAUUGGAAAAUAAAACUGUGAGUUUCACAUAUAUGACUUCAGAGUUGUCUUCUCUUCCCCUCUUGGUCUGUUGUGCUCGCAAUGUUCGUCACUCCCUCAAGGUGAAUGAUGUCCCUUUUUUAUUUACCCUUUUUCUGCUGCUGUUUGGUUCUUCAUUUUUUUCCCUCUGUUUAUAUUAAAAGCACAAAUUUUGUUGUUCUUCCCUCAUUGAGAAAUGUUAUUCGAGACAUGGUGUCAACAUGUGACAAAGCUAUGGUUGCUCUGGUCUCAGCGAUGACUCCUAGUUGCUCUACCUCUUCGAUUUCAAUGGUGGAGGUCGCUUACGAUGCAUUCUUAGUAGUGCACCAAUAUGUGCAGGACCGGAGGGAGUAAUUAAAUUCAAGUAUUGGCGCAAUGAUGAUAACAUAAAACCAAAAUGUAUAGCACUAAUCUAUCAAAGGUUGAAGAAAGUAUUCGUAAAGACGGGGUUAAUCUCAUGGCAGAGCAGUGUGAUUACCUUUGAGACUCACGAUAUUGCUCAGUCAUCAAGGGUAUGACCUCAAUAUUGGUGUCGCUGCUAUUAAAUUGAGGCUAUUGAAAAAGAAAGAAGCUCUGGUUCAAGGCAAUGAGAAUAGAGUGGAGAAAAAGAUGUGGUCUAUUUCUAGUUUUUAGAAGUAACCCAUCUCAAUGAAUAGGCGAAUCAAAGAGAGAGAUGAUGUACCAGAAGCUUGAAAAAGUUCUUGGCAAGAAGAAAAGAAGGUCACGUGAUUGGAGAUUAGUAAUUAAUCUCAGCCAUUAAAUUUUUAAUAUACUCAUGGGUGAGGAUGUGGAGUAGCUUUUUAAAGUUACUCUUGGAGUAAAUGGAGCCAUCCUUUUGAUUAAUAUGAGAAAUUGAUUAUGAACAUGAUAAGUUAAGGAUUGCUCAUAUGCUUAGAUGUUGAAUAACAUGAAUGCGAAUGAUGAGAUGACUAAAUACCUUGAUGUUUGAGAACAUGAAUACUUAUUGAGAACAUGAUUACUUGUUGAACAUGAUGUGGUGAACUCUUAUGAUACCCAUUAUGAAUAUAUGCCUUGUAUUAUGAACAUAUGAUGCAUGAUGAAGUAUGCCUUGAUAUUUAUCGAAUAAUAUGCAAUGUAUGGACGAUGUAGAUCGAACGAGAUCGAAAGUGAAACCUAAGAUGGUUGGGCUACCGUGGCGACGGAUAGUUGGCGACACCUAUGAGUUGGUGAUCCCGACCACUCAUGUCGAGGUGUGGUGAAGUCGUCAUCGAACGACAAAAGACUAUAACUACGUUGUAUGACUAAUCAUGAAGCAUAACAUUGCAUUGACUGAGGGUGCCGCUUGGUUAUUGGUACACCGAGGUGUUGACUAAUGACUGCAUGGGAAGGGUCAUUAGAUAAGUCGCAAGUGAUUGCAUGGGAAGGGUCUUUGUCCCGCCUACCUGGUAUGGAGUUGGCGUUUAUCCGGAUCAUGUUGUGCAAUGAGCAUCAAGCAUAUUGCAUACGCUAACACUAUAGAGACACAUAGGUUCCCUUGAACGUCGUUGACGUUAGAACAUUGGUUGUUGUCUUGUGACUCGUGUUUGAAUCGAAUGCCCCAUAAGGUGCGACAUGUGGUUGUGGGCCUUGUGCCUUGCAUGUUGAAGUGUUUUCCUUAUCCUAAGUUACAUCUAGAAUUCCUUAGGGAUGUAUUAGUGUGUCAUUUGGUAAGAAUCUUGCUAGGUGUUUAUAUAUGUGAAUAUGCAUGCUUCUACUUGCUUGUAUGUGUGCACGUCCUAAUUAUGGCCUUUUGGUUUAAGAAGUUGACCCUUGCACCCUUUCUCUCUUAUGAAUGUUCGACGACGC